rfam:Schistosoma rodhaini strain Burundi genome assembly, scaffold: SROB_scaffold0013433
AUUCAGCUGACGAGUCCCAAAUAGGACGAAACGCACGUCCUUAAU